rnacentral:rRNA from 1 species
UUGUAGCAAUAUGAUUAUGAGAGUGGCGCACGGGUGCGUAACACGUAUGCAACCUACCUAUAACUGGGGGAUAGCCUCCCGAAAGGGAGAUUAACACCGCAUAACAUUAUGAAAUGGCAUCAUUUUAUAAUUAAAUCUACGGAGGUUAUAGAUGGGCAUGCGUCCGAUUAGCUAGUUGGUGAGGUAAAGGCUCACCAAGGCUCCGAUCGGUAGGGGGUCUGAGAGGAUGAUCCCCCACACUGGUACUGAGACACGGACCAGACUCC